AAUGAUGAUAAUAAUGAACUUUUUAUUGAGUAACUAUGAUUUGACAUGGUAUAAAAUAUUUUCCAUGAGAUUUCACACAGAUAGGAUUUCUCCCAUGUUACUGAUAAUAACACUGAGACUUGAGAUCAAAACAGCCUCUGUUAGGGAGCAAUUGACAACUAAUUUCUAUUCCUACAGAAGCAGGAAAGCAAAAUUUAGGGCAAAGAACAGGAAAGGCUAUUAUAGUGGACAAAUCAAAUAAAGUACUGUCCUCCUUGAGGACAAGGAUUUAAAACUAUUUUGUUUACUGAGGUAACCUCAGGGUCUACAAGACUGGUGUGGGAUUAAUGGGACUAUCCCAAUGAAACCCCUUUAUACAAUUAAUUAAAAAGGAUAGUGAACAACAUUUUAAAAACAAUUGCAAAAUACUAUGUGCCAGGCAUUGUGGAAAAAUACUUUAGGUGAUUUUGUUUCUAGUAAGAAUUCUAUGAAAGGUAUUACUAUCAAUUCUAUGUAAAGAUGAAAGAAAUGAGGCAUAGAGGUGUUAAAUAAGAUGGCAUUUAGUUGGGCUGGGAAUAUGGCCUAGUGGCAAAAGUGC